CCACCAUCUCGGGACUCCUUGGUCUGACCUACCGUGGAUAUUCCUGCAGACCCUGCGGGAGGGGACAGGGACAAGCGAGACACCUCAGAAAGCAAGGGUGAAUUGCAGCACGUAGAUAAGCUCCAAAUUCCCAUCUGUGUUGUACUUAAGUUCCCCUGCAAGUCUACAAGGGCUAUUGAAGUUGUAUCCCACAGGAAGAGGAUCAGGUUCAAGAGAAGGUAUUUACAUAUUAAUUACUUGUCAUAUGAUACUGCAUAUGUCAGUUGCUACAGGUGAUCUUUGUAUUUUCCUUGACUGGGAAUGGAAGGGCUUGUGGGAAAGGAAGGAUUAAAGCAGUAAUGCUGGUAAAGAACAUCAGAAUGUAUUUCUAGAUUACAGGAUUUAUUUCUAGAGUUUUUUUCUGUUUCUCAUCAUCUACAUCCUUCUAUAAAUGCUAAGAAUUAUUAAGAAGAUAGGCUUGAGAAUGAAGUAAUCUUUCCCUCUAUUUAAAGUCUAGAUUGUUGAGUGGUAAUGAAAUAGAAAACAUAGCUGGCCAUUCAGCUCUGUCAUUGCAGUUUCUGUGGUGAAUUCURUUGGGUGAACAGCUGACCAAAAGUGCUUUGGAGAGUUGUUUUUUCUCUUUACCCAGCUCUUGUGAAAGAGCAGAGUAUAAUUUGACCUCCUGUGGUGAUAUGCUGCCACAUAAGUUAUUACAGCACUCUGCUGGUAUAUUCCCCACUGCUAUAAAGUGCUAACAACAUGCAGACAAAGCAGGUAACAUUUGUCACAAAGUCUUACCAGUUUGCAAUAAGAAACACUUCAAAAGUGUGCAGACUAAGUAAGUACUGCUAGAGGUGUAGCUAAAAGACUCUGUUCCACUAUAUGACAAAGAGGAUCUUUUAA
rnacentral:lncRNA from 1 species